AAUGAACGUUGGCGGCGUGGAUUAGGCAUGCAAGUCGUACGGGCCACGAGUAGCAAUACUUGUGGCCAGUGGCGUAAGGGAGAGUAAUACGUAGGUAUUUACCCUGGGGUCUGGGAUAGCGGCGGGAAACUGCCGGUAAUACCAGAUGAUAUCUCCGGAUCAAAGGUGAGAUUCCGCCCUGGGAGAAGCCUGCGGCCUAUUAGCUAGUUGGCAGGGUAACGGCCUACCAAGGCAAAGAUGGGUAUGGGGCGUGAGAGCGUGCCCCCACUCACUGGGACUGAGACACUGCCCAGACACCUACGGGUGGCUGCAGUCGAGAAUCUUCGGCAAUGGGCGCAAGCCUGACCGAGCGACGCCGCGUGCGGGAUGAAGGCCUUCGGGUUGUAAACCGCUGUCGAAGGGGAGGAAAUUGUAGUGGGUUCACCCAUUAUAUUGACCGAUCCUUGGAGGAAGGGCCGGCUAAUCUCGUGCCAGCAGCCGCGGUAAUACGAGAGGCCCAAACGUUAUUCGGAUUUACUGGGCUUAAAGAGUUCGUAGGCGGUUCGGUAAGUGAGGUGUGAAAUCCCUUGGCUCAACCAAGGAAUUGCGCUUCAAACUGCCGGGCUCGAGGGAGAUAGAGGUGAGCGGAACUGAUGGUGGAGCGGUGAAAUGCGUUGAUAUCAUCAGGAACACCAGANGCGAANGCGGCUCACUGGGUCUCUUCUGACGCUGAGGAACGAAAGCUAGGGGAGCAAACGGGAUUAGAUACCCCGGUAGUCC
rnacentral:rRNA from 1 species